CAGAAUUUCCCAGAGAACAGGCUGGUGAGCCCCUGGUUGAGAGGUCAGUGUGCACAAACUGAAAGGCUCAAAUGGGAGGCGAUUCUGAGCCAGUUUUGCCGUGGAGACAGACUGCCAGGGGGGCUUUCAACGGUGUAUACCCAGGAGCGCUAUCUUGAGUAUGUAUUUUCAUUCAAAAGUCACUCCCUGUAGAGGAACCCAGACGCCAUGUUGUAAGGACUCUUGGCAACAUCACGUGAUUCAUCUUGGACUUUUGGAUUCUCCAGCCCCAGUCAAGCCUCCAGCUGAUGCAGCCCCAAAUGACAUUUUGUCUGGAGCCUAAUGAGAUACCCUGAGCCAGAAGCAUCUGACUAAGCCACUCCAGGAUUCCUGACCCACAGAGAGUGAGAUAAUAAAUACUUGUUGUUAUAAGUU